GGUCCCAUAGCUCAGUUGGUCAGAGCGUCGUACUAAUAGUAUGAUCACUUCAUAAUAUUAAGUAAUGCGAAGGCCGUGAGUUCAAGCCUCACUGGGACCA
rnacentral:tRNA from 1 species